CAAAUUGAAUAUGAAUCAAGCCCAAUUCAAAACCAGUUUAACUAAAUUGAGACCGAAUUGACUUUGGGCUGACCCUGACUCAAGCCUAGAUGAGCCACAUUGAUCCUGGACCAAAAUUAAACUUAAUUGGACUUGAAAUUGAGCCCAAUAACAUAAUCAGAAGACCAAAUUGACCCGAUAGGGCUAGACCCAAUCAGGAACCGAGCCCAAUUCUUUAAUUAAAGACCCAAUUGACCUACGUGAACCCAAUCUGGUUCUAAAUCGAGGCCAAGGGCUCUAAAUUAAAUAAAUUGGACUUGAGAUCCAAGCAAGUAAAUUCAUGUUAUGAUAAAUUAGAAAAUUAUGAAAUAAAUAGAGAAUAAUGUGACCCCUAUGUGAUUUAUUUAGGUGAUCAAGGAUUUGUCACCCGGACGUAAGAAAUUGGAAAGCAUAUUGCUAUGAUUAAGACCACUAGGAGCAGGGAGCUUGAUGUUAUUCAGGGUUGGGGUAAUUGAAAAUGUUAUGUAAUAAUCAGAUUUUAGAAGCUCUGUACUGUUCCAACUUCAUGAACAAUGUUAUGAUAUUAGUAAAUGAAACUAUUUAUUUUCAU